rnacentral:lncRNA from 10 species
CCUUGUUUGGCUUCUUUCUGACGCCAGGGAGGGGUACCAAUCCCUGCAUACCUGUGGUGCCUACGUUACCAUCUCUGCCUAGGAUGUGCAAUGGGCCCCUGCUCUCACUGCGGGGUUGACGUUACCUCCAGCUGGAGACCUGGGCUCCUGACACCGCCUGGCCUCUUUGUCCUUCUCUGGAUGAGGGUGGAAAGGCUGUACCUGGUAUUUCCCUAGGUCCUUGGUUUCCACCUUCUAAACAUCCAGCAGGAGUGACCAUGCCCAGCACCACACCUGAAGUGGGACUCCCUUGUGGAGCAGCCAAGAAAUCUACAGAUGGAAGAAUGCUCUGGUGAGAUAAGCCACAGGGGUCCCUGGGGAGGAUCUGGGGCCAGAGGAUUCUGGAGGUUUCCAGCCUUGGGCUCUGUGGGAACUAUGAUCUGGAGAUAUUUUUUUCAUUUAGGUCACCAAGAGACAACCCCUAACCCCUGAGCAAGGCAUGGUCAAGCUCUGGCAUGAGAUUCUCUUCCAGCAAUGCAAUGCUUGCAGAGACAGGUACAAAAGCUGGUGACCAGGCCUGCUGUCCCCCAGGUAAGGACAGUGUGCUACCCACCCUCUGAGAGGUGGUGCCAGUCCACAGCACUGGGUGCCUGUACCCCUGGCUCUGCAGAUACCGGUCAUGGAAGUCCCAUGGAGGUCCUCCCCUCUCCACAUUACCUUCUUGCUGCUUCUAGACUUCUUCUAGUCAUUAAGCAUGUUGAGCCAUUUUUCUGUGCAUCCGAUCUGACAUUUUUGCUCUCAGAUGAAACACGACAAAGUAAGCUGAGCCACCAGGAUUCCUGGAGGGAACCUUGGAUGCUUGGUCUUGGGCUCCAGGGCACUGAUGGGAGGGAGCCAGGGAAGAACAAACACUGGGGCUGAGCCCCUAUGACCCAAUGGGAACUUGUGGCCUGUCCUUAUGGCCCCAAGACACCCUGUCCUCAGGCCACAGGCACCACGGGCUUUGGUCAGAUCCCAGCCUCCCAGUAGUGUCCCGGCACUAGUGGGUGCUGACCCCUGAGCCACAACCACAGUUCUGGGUUUGGGGUAUGGUAAAACCACCCCAGGGACAGAGUUCUGGGGCCGGGUUUGGGAGGAACCAAGGCACCUCCCAGGGAUGGUGUGUCACUCCUACUUGCCAUGAAAUGUGCACAAAGGCUGUCCUCCUGCCCAUCCCAUCCUGCUGGACAGGAUGGAGGAAGUGAGGGAACAGGCAGCGUGGACAGCUAGGGUGCAGGGAGAGGCAGGUGCAUGCUGGGAGGUCAGGCCCUGUGAGGGCUGUGGGGGCAUCAGCCCUCACUGGGUCUGACCUCCCAGCAUGCACAUGUCUCUCCCUGAAACUCAGCUGCCCACCCUGCCUGUUCCCUGGCCUCCUCCAUCCUGUGCAGCCCAUAGACUGUGACCAUCUCUCUGGCCACUCUGGUACUUCCUUUACUUUUGUCCUGUCAGAAUCCCUGAGCAAGAUCUCCCAGGUCCAUCCAAACACCUGCUUUGUCCACUUUUGACUGGGCCAUUGAACACCACUGGGCCAUCCCAGCUGUCCACAGGGUCCUCGAUAACAUGCAUUUCUCCUGACAUCUCCCUGCAGUGCUCAGCAGCCCCCACUGAACAGGUCCCUGCUGACCAGAUCCAGCAUAUCAGAUCCUCCCUGACCACACCCUCACUGACUAGACCCCCAUCACCAGGCCUCACUAACUAGAUUCCCGCUGACAGGCCCACAAUGACCAGGACUCCACUGAUGAGGACCUUACUGAUAAGUCCUCACUUGUAAGGCCUCACUGACCAGGUCCUUACUGACAAGGCCUCGCUGAUCAGGUUCCACCGAUAAUGACCCCAUUGCCUGGUCCCACAGAUGAAGCCCCACUGAGCAGGCCUCCAGGGAAUAGGCUGCCAGUGACCAGGCUCCUACUAACCACGCCUGAGGUGACCAGAUGCCCCUGACUGGGACUCUAAUGAGUAUGCCCCACUGAACAGGCACGCACUGCUCAGAUCCCCGCUGACCUGGUCACCCCGUAGACCAGUGCUACAAAAGCCACCACUGAUCAAGUCCUUUCUGACCAGGCCCCCACUGAUUAGGUUCCAUUGACCAGCCUGCCCUGACCAGGGCCCCACUGACAAGCGCCUCUGCUGACUAGGUCCCAUGUGACCAGGCCUCCACUGAAUAGCACCCCUUGACCUGGUCACCAGUAACCCAGCCCAAUCAGACAAGGCCACAACUAAGCCCCAGCUGACAAGGUCUCCACUGACCAAGUCCCACAGCCCAGGUUGGCAUUGACCAGACACCAAACAUUUGUCUGCCACUAGGAACCCACUCACCAAGAGCUGCACUACUAGAUCCCUCUAAUGAGACCCUCUCUAGGCAGACACCUGCUGACCACCCCCCACUAAAUAGGCCUCACUGACAAAGUCCCAACUGACUAGGUCCACUGAGCAGGCCUACACUGAUCAGGCCCCUCCUAACCAUAUCAGAAGGCCAAGCGGCAAUGAGAUGUUUCAUAUGGCAGGAGUAGGAGCAAGACAGAGAGAGGAAAGAGGUGUGACAUCCUGUUAGACAACCAGAUCACAUAAGAACUCACCAUCAGGACAUCGGCAUCAAGAAAACUAACCAAUGGUGAAGGAUUCUCCACCCACACCACCGCCCACUGUUUCCAGGCAGAAGCCUCCUGCAGAAGCAGAACCUCUUAGGAAACAUCCACUAUGGCAGUGCAGAAGGAAAAUAUAGGCUUUGAGCCCCCACACAGGAGGCCACCUUCCUCCAGACUCCAGGUUCAUAAGCCCACCAACAGCUCACACCCUCAGUAUGGAAAAGCUACAGGCACUCGACACCAACCCAGCCCAUGAGAGCAGCCAUGGGGGCAACACCCUGCAAAGCCAGAGAUGCACUGUCCUAGUAGAGGUUUCCCAUGAGCCUCUGCCUCUGCAGC